AAUGAACGUUAGUAAUAUGCUUUAACACAUGUUCGAGUUGAACGAAGUUUAUAAUUUUGGUUUGUAUUUAACUUUAAAUCUAAUCAAAUUUACAGUUAUUUGUAAGAAAACUUAGUGGCGUCCGGGUGAGUAAAAUAUGAGAAUUUACCAAACAGGCCAGGAUAUAUAUAUUGAAAAAUAUAAGGAAUACUGGAUAAUAAAUAAAGAUUGAAUCGCUGUUUGAUAAGCUGAUAUAGUUUUAGGUAGUUGGUAGGANAAGAGCUUACCAAGCCGAUAAUACUUAGCUGAUAUGAGAGUAUGACCAGCCACAUUGGAACUGAAACACGGUCCAACCUUCCACGGAGGGCAGCAGUGGGGAAUCUUGGGCAAUGAGCAAAUGCUUGACCCAGCAAUAUUACGUAUAUUUCGACGAUCUUACACGGUUGCAAGAUAUUCCAGCGUAGGAAAAUAAUGAUGUAAAGCGCUAAGCAG
rnacentral:rRNA from 1 species